GUUCUAAAAUUAUGACAUCUUAUAACAAGGUAUUUAUUUUUAUGUUUACUUAAAUAAUGUUGAAGUAAGAGUGGACUCCUUACUUCAACUAUAAUUACUUAAGUAAUGUUUUUACCUGACUCAUACCUAAAUUGCAUUAUUUUUAGCUGAAUAAUGUGAAGUAAAUUUAAAAGGACAAAUAAAAAUUGAAAGAGGACCAUCUUUUGGACCACCUUAAAAUCUGUUUUCUAAAUGCAAGUUACUAUUGUGAAUAUCGUUUCACACCGAUAAGACAUUUGUUAAUCUUCAGAACACUAAUUAAGAUAUGUUUGAUGAAAGUCAAGUGCUUUCUUUCCCUCCAUCUGGAGUUAGAAUGGUAGGCAAAAGCUCAGAUUUCAUCAAAAUAAUUUUAAUCUGUUUUCUGAAGAUGAAUAAGGGUCUUAUGGGUUUGGAACAACAUGAGGAUGAGUAAUGUUAAUGAUAGAAUUUUCAUUUUUGGGGCAACUAUCCCAUUAAAUUGAUAGACAUGGAUCGAGCAUUUAACAAAUGUUGAUUUAAUAUACAGAUUUUACACAUUAAUUAUAAAGUGUAAAAAUGUCAACAGUUAUUUUUCAUUAUGAUAAACAUACUUUUUUCUAGAUCAUUUAAAACUUGUCAUUCUGAUGUUUUUUGUUUGUUUGUUUUUUUUAGAGAUCUGUGAUUCGUGAUGAUUCGGAUGAUCUCUUUGAAAAUUCCAGUGUAAACAGUAAAGACAUUCAAGAUGAUGUCAGACGGAAUCAUGCAUCAUUUGCAAUGAAUGAACAACAUUCCGCUUGUACCACAGCAUCCAAAAGAGCAAAAAACACCAGAGCUAGAGGGAAGAUUGCUGAGUACUCGGAUGGUUCAAGUGAAGAUGAGUUAUCUGUUAGUGAGGAAGAGUACAUUCCUGACACAUCAGAGAGUUACACAUCAGAUAGUAGCAUGAGCUUUACUGCUUCACCAAAAGGUAAAGAAAAAAAGUUACAGACUUUGCCAGUCCGGAGCAGUUCAGCUGUAAACCGAAUCAAAAAGUUCAGUAUUCAAAGCAGCGGUGACUUAGGGAGCUCCCAGAAACACGACAUAGCCAAAGUUCCUGACACAUCUUCGAUUCUUGACAGCACAACAUCAGUAGUUAUCCCAGCUAUAAUUAAAAAGAGAGGUGGAUUGAGAAUGUACAGCAAAAAACAACAGUGCUUUUUUUGUGACGGUGCUUUUACAAAAAUUUCUAGACACCUGGAACGAAAGCAUAGAAAUGAGGUAGAGGUAGCGAAAGCAUUAAGUCAUCCAAAGGGCUCAAAAGAAAGGAGGAUGCAACUGGAGUAUCUACGUAACAAAGGGAACUUUGCUUACAAUAGUACUGUUAUUAAUACAGGUGCAGGACUGAUGAUUCCACGGAAACUGCCCAAAAAGAACCUGGUUGGGGAAAGUUUUAUGCACUGCAUUUACUGCAAAGGACUCUUCUUAAAGAAAACUCUGUGGCGACAUGUCAAGGUUUGCAAAUUCAAGCCUGGUGAUGAGAAGCCGAAACCUGGAAAAACCCGUGUCCAGGUUCUUUGUGGCUUUGCACAACCUCCCCCACCAGGAGUAACUCAUGGUGUUUGGAAGCUGUUAAAUUCCAUGAACCAGGACCAAGUGGCACUUGAAACUAGAAACGACUGGUGCAUUUUAGAGUUAGGAAAACAUCUAUACAACAAGUAUGGAUCGAGAGUUAAAAUGCAUGAACACAUCCGCCAAAAGAUGAGGGAGCUUGGAAGACUCCUAAUAUGUGCAAGAGAGGUAUCCCCCCUUACAUCUAUUAAAGAGCUCAUUCAUCCCACAAACUUCAUGCAUACCAUCAAUGCAGUUAAAAGGGCUGCUGGCUACAAUGAAGAGACCAAUGUAUUUGAAAAGGCUAGUGUGGCUGUGAAACUUGGACAGAGUCUGAACAAAAUCGCAAUGCUCAUUGAGAGCCACUGGAGAUGA
ensembl:lncRNA